GAUGAACGCUGGCGGCGUGCCUAAUACAUGCAAGUCGAGCGAAUGGAUUGAGAGCUUGCUCUUAUGAAGUUAGCGGCGGACGGGUGAGUAACACGUGGGUAACCUGCCCAUAAGACUGGGAUAACUCCGGGAAACCGGGGCUAAUACCGGAUAACAUUUUGAACCGCAUGGUUCGAAAUUGAAAGGCGGCUUCGGCUGUCACUUAUGGAUGGACCCGCGUCGCAUUAGCUAGUUGGUGAGGUAACGGCUCACCAAGGCAACGAUGGGUAGCCGGCCGGAGAGGGUGUACGGCCACACUGGGACUGGAACACGGCCCAGACUCCUACGGGAGGCAGCAGUCGGGAAUCUUCCGCAAUGGACGAAAGUCUGACGGAGCAACGCCGCGUGAGUGAUGAAGGCUUUCGGGUCGUAAAACUCUGUUGUUAGGGAAGAACAAGUGCUAGUUGAAUAAGCUGGCACCUUGACGGUACCUAACCAGAAAGCCACGGCUAACUACGUGCCAGCCGCCGCCGUAA
rnacentral:rRNA from 1 species